rnacentral:rRNA from 1 species
GACGUAGGGCGCGAGCGUUGUCCGGAUUUAUUGGGCGUAAAGGGCUCGUAGGCGGUUUGUCGCGUCGGGAGUGAAAACCUUGGGCUUAACUCAGGGCUUGCUUUCGAUACGGGCAGACUAGAGGUAUGCAGGGGAGAACGGAAUUCCUGGUGUAGCGGUGAAAUGCGCAGAUAUCAGGAGGAACACCGGUGGCGAAGGCGGCUUGCUGGGCCAGUUCUGACGCUGAGGAGCGAAAGCGUGGGGAGCGAACAGG